CCUACGGGAGGCAGCAGUGAGGAAUAUUGGUCAAUGGGCGGAAGCCUGAACCAGCCAUGUAGCGUGCAGGAUGACGGCCCUACGGGUUGUAAACUGCUUUUAUACGGGAAUAACGCGCCUUACGUGUAGGGCUUUGCAUGUACCGUAUGAAUAAGGACCGGCCAAUUCCGUGCCAGCAGCCGCGGUAAUACGGAAGGUCCGAGCGUUAUCCGGAUUUAUUGGGUUUAAAGGGAGCGUAGGCGGCAUGGCAAGGGUGCUGUGAAAUGUCCGGGCUCAAACCUGGCCUUGCAGCGCGAACUGGCUUGCUUGAGUCCGCGGAAAGCAGGCAGAAUUCGGCGUGUAGCGGUGAAAUGCUUAGAUAUGACGAAGAACCCCGAUUGCGAAGGCAGCUUGCUGCAGCGGAACUGACGCUGAUGCUCGAAAGCGCGGGUAUCGAACAGGAUUAGAUACCCCGGUAGUC
rnacentral:rRNA from 1 species